UACAGAGGUCCCGAGCGUUGUUCGGAUUCACUGGGCGUAAAGGGUGCGUAGGUGGUUGGUUAAGUUUGAGGUGAAAGCUCCGAGCUCAACUCGGAAAAUGCCUUGAAGACUAUCUGACUAGAGGAUUGGAGGGGAGAUUGGAAUUCUCGGUGUAGCAGUGAAAUGCGUAGAUAUCGAGAGGAACACCAGUGGCGAAGGCGAAUCUCUGGACAAUUCCUGACACUGAGGCACGAAAGCCAAGGGAGCAAACGGGAUUAGAUACCCCGGUAGUCUUGGCUGUAAACGGUGCGCACUUGCUGUGAGCGGAUUCGACCCCGCUCGUGGCGUAGUUAACACGAUAAGUGCGCCGCCUGGGAAGUACGGUCGCAAGAUUA
rnacentral:rRNA from 1 species